UGUCGGACGUUACCAAACUGUUGCCUCGGCGGGGUCACGCCCCGGGUGCGUCGCAGCCCCGGAACCAGGCGCCCGCCGGAGGAACCAACCAAACUCUUUCUGUAGUCCCCUCGCGGACGUAUUUCUUACAGCUCUGAGCAAAAAUUCAAAAUGAAUCAAAACUUUCAACAACGGAUCUCUUGGUUCUGGCAUCGAUGAAGAACGCAGCGAAAUGCGAUAAGUAAUGUGAAUUGCAGAAUUCAGUGAAUCAUCGAAUCUUUGAACGCACAUUGCGCCCGCCAGUAUUCUGGCGGGCAUGCCUGUCCGAGCGUCAUUUCAACCCUCGAACCCCUCCGGGGGAUCGGCGUUGGGGAUCGGGACCCCUCACACGGGUGCCGGCCCCGAAAUACAGUGGCGGUCUCGCCGCAGCCUCUCCUGCGCAGUAGUUUGCACAACUCGCACCGGGAGCGCGGCGCGUCCACGUCCGUAAAACACCCAACUUUCUGAAAUGUUGACCUCGGAUCAGGUAGGAAUACCCGCUGAACUUAAGCAUA
rnacentral:rRNA from 2 species